rnacentral:rRNA from 1 species
UACGUAGGGGGCUAGCGUUGUCCGGAAUCAUUGGGCGUAAAGAGCGCGUAGGCGGCUAGAUAAGUCCGGUGUGAAAGUCACAGGCUCAACCUGUGAAUGCCGCUGGAAACUGUCUGGCUGGAGUCCGGAAGGGGCGAGUGGAAUUCCUGGUGUAGCGGUGAAAUGCGCAGAUAUCAGGAGGAACACCAAUGGCGAAGGCAGCUCGCUGGGACGGUACUGACGCUGAGGCGCGAAAGCGUGGGGAGCAAACAGG